UGAGGAAACACACACUUGUGUCAUUUUGACAAAAUCAAAAUCAGCCUUUUCUUUCACUUUGAUAUUUAAAAGCACUAAAAAUACUUCACCGAUAUGGGAGUGUCAAGCAGGGCUGGGUCUGCAUUCUAUCAGUGUAUUGUGUUAAACGACUUGAAGGACCAGUUUAAGAUCUUGUUAAGCAAACAGCUGUUGCAUGCAUCUCAUUUCCAUUGCAGUUCAGCAACUGUAAAAGAAUGUCACUCUCAGCAUGAUGAAGCUUUCCACCGACUCACUAUGAGUUUUCAGCCAUAAUAAGCAGCACACUUAGCAAAUGGAGGUGAGAGCCACUCCCACCUCUCAGUGAAUGCGCUCUGGAGAGAGAUGGGCGUUUGUUUGUUUGUUUCGCAGGAUCAUGACGAAACCUGAAGACUGAGGCGGCGCCUCCUCCAAUACAAGAACCUUUGAACACUGUGACACUUGCUGUUUGUCUUUAUUGCUCUCUUCUCCUCCCUUCUUUCAAUUACUUAUAACAUCCUCCCCCACUUUUGUUCACAUUCCCCUUCUCUUUCUUUCUCCACAACAGAUUAGCUCUGCAUUACAGACAAAGAAGCAAAAGUUGGUUUUAUAAGAAACUAACCAUCAUCUUUUGACCAUUUUGAUUAAUAAUAACUGCAUUAUGCCUCCCUGAAGCUGCAGUGAGAUGUGAAAAACAGCAGUUCUCUGCCUCCAUCAAUCCCAAUGAACAUAUACAGCAGCCAGAUAUAAGCAGCUUAAGCAAUGGAGGAAUGUACUGGCACCUGCUUGUCCCCAGCAAACCACAGUGUUUUUGUGUGAGGGGCGACCCGAAGGAUUACAGCAAGAAUUUCAAUUUCACAGUCUUUAGCCCUGAGCUUGAACCCAGAGUCAGGCUAGCAAACUCCAAACGGCAGCAGUAAAAUAUCUGUUCUGGAACCUACUCGUGUUGCAUUCAUAAUUUUAAUGACAUUUAACUGGGUUCUGCUUCAGCAAUGUGUGGAAAUAAUUAGAAUUUGCUGCUGGAUUGUGGAAUGAUUCUGUGAGGCAGUUGGAAGGCCAUGGUGUUUUGAUACCUGCUUAUUAGGUAAGAGAAGAACCGCAGGACAAAGGUGGACUGAAAUGAAACUCCUCCCAUAGUCUUAAGGGCAGGGCUUGCAUUGAGACGAGACAGAUAUAGACUGCUGCCUGUCAAACCUGUUGUAAUUUCUGAUUUCUCCAGACAAGUUCAGUUGCCUACUCUGUAUUUUGAGAUCGCUCGUGUUCUACUCAACUGCCAAAAUGAUGGAAGAAGUGUCUAUCUCUGUUGCUUAUGAUGCCCACAUUAUUGACCAAAUGUCAGAGGAGGAGAUCCUGGCUAGUCUAGUGGUGGAGUCUCUACCAAAACAAGUGGUGCCAUCUAAAAAGCCAAAAUUAAGAGAUAACCAACUGCAGCAAGAAGACCCACUCGACAAGUACGAGAGAGAAAACCGUAAGCUUCAGGAAACCAGUUUGCGACUGGAGCAGGAAAAUGAUGACCUUGCACAAAAACUUGUCACCAGCAAGAUUGCGCUGAGGAAUGCUUUAGAUCAGACUGAGGACCAGGUGGAUGAAUUAACCAAGGAGCUUUUAAAAACCAAACAGCUUCUGAAGAUUACAGAGGAGGAGAAAAGAGGAAAGGAGGAGGAGGCUUCACAGCUGAAAGAGAUGUUUAGGAGAGAGCUGGACAAAGCAGAAGCAGACAUUAAGAGAUCAAACAACAUCAUCGCCGACUACAAGCAGAUUUGCUCCCAACUGAACACUAAACUUGAACACCAGAAAGCUCAAGCAGACAAAGAGCUGGCAGUUAUCAAGAGCAAGAUGCUGGAGUGUGAGCGGUGCAGACAUAUCUUUAGCAUGGAUGGAUCAAUUCAGCUGUGCUCUGAGAGUGAAGAUACCUCUGCUCAGGAGGAAGUGAAGGCCUCUCUCAGAGAACAGGUCCAAGAGUUAGAGAGAGAGCUAGUCCAGACCAAGCUACAAAUGGUGGAGUCCAAAUGCAAGAUCCAAGUAAGACAUAAAAUCAAUAAUAGAAGUGGUCUAAAUAUUAAAACAUGUACAUAUAUCUUCUGUGAAAGUCUCAUGGCCAAAAAAUGUUCAUCCAAUCAUUGCAUUCAGUCCGAAUGUAAUGAUACAAUGUCCUCCUGCCGGUCAACAUAUGUAUUUCCAUACCUCCGUGCACACGCAGACAUCAAACGUCAUGAGCGCGUUCUGUAAGUCCGAGCAUGGCAAGGAAACAGCAGCCGCCUUUUACAGUUCCUCCUGAACCAAAACAACGAGCUUAUGCUGCUUUCACGCAAUGUCGUAAAUGCAAUUACAAGAUGGCAACCCGUGAUGUUCUACCUGGAGCUGUUCAUGUCCUCAGACUUGGAUUUAUGCGUUUAUAAACACCUAAAUUAAUCUGAAGCAGUCAGGUGGUACAAGUAAGAGCUCUGAGUUGGAGCACCAAAAUGCAGUUGUGACGACUGAACUUCAGGCUGCUAAGAACACAUGGCUCAGAAAAACUCUGGGCUCUUUCAGGACAGUUGCCAGCGGCCAUCAGAACUCCUCUCAACCAGAUUCUGCCUGGA